rnacentral:pre_miRNA from 1 species
UAUAUACUCCCUCCGUUCGGAAUUACUUGUCUCGGAAAUGGAUGUAUCUAGAACUAAAAUACAUCUAGAUACAUCCAUUUUCGCGACAAGUAAUUCCGAACGGAGGGAGUAGUAC